rnacentral:rRNA from 1 species
UAGCAUGAAGUCAGACAAGUGAACCCGCUGAACUU